rnacentral:lncRNA from 1 species
CAGUAUGCCUGUUAUUUGAGUGGACUCUUCUUGGACCAUUUGCUUGGAUGAACAGUGGGCAGAAGUGGAAAGGAAGGGUGCUCUGGACAAAGGUGACAAAGCCCAGGAACAAAAGUCGGAAGGUGCACAGUGUGCCCAGAGGGCCAGGAAUUGGGUGGAGUGACUGGCUCCUUGGUCGCUUGCAAGUAGCAUGAGAAUAGAGAGGGCUGGGAGAUGCAUUAAAAAGCACCAGGACAAAUUUAGGUUUGCACAGAAAAGGACGUUUCGUCAGGGUACGUGAGGAAAGUUGAGUAGAGAAUUUAGGAAUGGAGCAGACGACUCUGGUUGGGAUGAUGAGAGCGGAGAGACAGAUCCAUGUUCUUUCCAGGUGCCCCAGCAGCUCCAGGUCUCGCUGAACCUGUUACUAUGGCAGCGUCUAUGCUUCACUUUUGAGGAUUGCUUCUGCUUUGAAAUAGCCGUGUGGAAGAAAAACUACAAAGUUUUGAGGGGGAAAAAACCCACCUAACUUUAGCUGCCGUUGUGUCUUCAUCUGUAAAAAUCUUCUUCAUGUCUCAUGGAUUUCAACAUGCAGUUUAUCUUGGUUUGUUCCAUAAAACAUCAGAUGCAACUUUAAUGGCCUAACCCCAAAAAGAUAACUUGGCAGCCAUCAAGCAUUCAGCAGCGUUCCAAAUGCCCUCUUGCUGGAGCCAGCCUUCUACGGGGCCAUGUGGAUGUCAGGCACACACAAUUUGAGUCACGCUGACAUAGCUGGGAUGCCUGGAUUGCACUGGAAUCUGGGGGGUACCAAUCACAGGCCAGAGAGAAGCCAUUGGCUGGAAGGAACAAUGCCAGCGUGUUCACCGUCUCUGCAGAAGGAGGGGGUGUUGAUGGUGAGGGGAAUGACAGUUGCAGCCAAAGGAGCAAAAUGACCCCAAAGCAGGGUGGGCACAUGUCAUUGAUGCUGGGCAGAAGCACUCCAGGGGCUCAGGUCAUGACCACACCCCUUUUCUCCUGCCCCACAACCAGAAAAACUAAGAAGGUACAAGAUUUUCCCUAAAACUUAAUGUACAGAAUGCCCUGCUGUCUUCAGGUUUUUGGGAAAUCCAGGGUUGACAACAACAGCCCAAAUAUAUGAAGCACUUACCUCUACCAGGCACUGUCUGUAUCUUACAAAUAAUUCGUUUAAUUCUCACAACUCCUUAAUGAGGUAAGUUUUACAAUUUCCAUUUUAUGAUGAGGGAAACUGAGGCUUAGAAAGAUUAAGAAACUUGCCCAAAUCCUGCAGCCAGAAAUGGGCAGAAUCAAGACAUGAACCACAGUCUCUCAAAAGCCAAAGCCUGGGCACUCACUACUACCCUCAACAGCCCGGUGGCUGGUUCAUGCCAUCUCUGCCACCCUCACACAGCCACCUCUUGGAUGGUAGAACCCUGUGUGUUGAACAAGUAGAGUAACAUUCUAAAAGGAUUCUUUUUCCUCCCCUGUUUUCCUGGGGGCUGAGUAGACAUGUUUAAACAUGCUGUUCAUCUGACACUUGUUUACUUCAGUGGCUAUGAUGUGCAAGACCCCAGACCAGGAACAGUAAGAGGGCAUGAGGAUAACCCAGCGUGGAGACCACUCUGGAGGAGGCUGCAGACUGGAGGCGCUGUUGUAGCCAGCUGCAUUUUGGAGGCUGGGUUGCCUGUCUUAGAUCUCUAAUGAGUUUGGUCAUUAUUUUUUCAGCCAGGGUUUUCUUCCUCCCUCCCUGUCUUCCUUCCCUUUCUCCUUCCUUCCUUCAUUCCUUCCUUCCUUUCUUCCUUCCUUCUUUCCUCCCUCCCUCCCUCCCUCCCUCCCUUCCUUUCUCUCUUUCCUUCUAUCUUUUAUUUUCUCUCUUUCUCUGUCUCUCUCUUUCUCUCUUUCUUCCUCCCUCCCUCCCUUUCUCUCCUUCUUUCUUUCUCCCUCCCUCCUCUCCUCCCUCUCUUGGUCUCUCUCUCUCUCCCUUCCUUCCUUUGUUCUUUCAAGAUUUUUCUUUCUUUCUUUCUUUCUUUUAAAGGUGUAAGCCUUUUUCUGGUUCACUACAUGCCAAGGACUGCGCUAAAUCAUUCACAUAAAACCACCAGCGUGCAUCACCUCAUUUGGUCCUCCCACAGUCUAACGGCCUCCCAAAGUGCUGGGAUUACAGGUGUGAUCCACCAUGCCCGGCCAUGUUCCGAGUCCUUAAGGUAACAAGGAGAAAUGUGAGAAGCCCAUUUGGGAAUGAAGGAUGCAGGAAAGCCCUGUAACUGAGGCAGCCAAUCAGAAGCUUUCAUUAACGGCCCUCUUUCUUUUGUCCCCCACUUCCAGAAGAAUCUACCAUAAAACCAACAGACUCCUCCUGAUCUCUACCUGUGCUGUCUGCCUCUCUAGUUCCGGACACUGAGAGCUGGUGCCCUGUGGCCACCUCAAGCUGGAACCCUGCAAGAUCACCAAGAAGACUGCAUGCCUCGCUCUAGCCUUCCUAAGGGAAAGUAGACUCCUGUUUUUGAGAGAAAUUACCUGAUUUCAAGAGAAACAUAAAGGACUUUUUUUCCCUUAACAUUCCACUCGUAAAAAUGAAGUUUGGAAGAACUUCUGCAAACUCUGAGUGUUUUGGUCAAUUGACCUUUUACUGUACUAAGCAAAUCUGAAGCCACAAAUACAUUGGGGAGGAAGGUAUACCCUUCACAAAAGAUCCGUCACUUAGCCAGAUACUCUGUUGCCAUGCUUCUUUAAAUAAAGCACAUUUCUGGUAUAUUU